UGCAAGUCGAACGCAGUAGCAAUACUGAGUGGCAAACGGGUGAGUAUAAUGUGGGAAUCUGCCUUUUGGUUUGGAAUAACACGGGGAAACUUGUGCUAAUACCGAAUAAGCCCUUACGGGGAAAGUUUUAAUGCCGAAAGAUGAGCCCGCACUUGAUUAGCUAGUUGGUAAGGUAAAAGCUUACCAAGGCAAUGAUCAAUAGCUGUUCUUAGAGGAAGACCAGCCACAUUGGGACUGAGACACGGCCCAGACUCCUACGGGAGGCAGCAGUGGGGAAUCUUGCACAAUGGGGGAAACCCUGAUGCAGCGAUGCCGCGUGAGUGAAGAAGGCCUUUGGGUUGUAAAACUCUUUCGUCGGGGAAGAAAAUGACUGUACCCGAAUAAGAAGGUCCGGCUAACUUCGUGCCAGCAGCCGCGGUAAUACGAAGGGACCUAGCGUAGUUCGGAAUUACUGGGCUUAAAGAGCUCGUAGGUGGUUAAAAAAGUUGAUGGUGAAAUCCCAAGGCUCAACCUUGGAACUGCCAUCAUAACUUUUUAGCUAGAGUGUGAUAGAGGUAAGUGGAAUUUCUAGUGUAGAGGUGAAAUUCGUAGAUAUUAGAAAGAACACCAAAUGCGAAGGCAACUUACUGGGUCACUACUGACACUGAGGAGCGAAAGCAUGGGUAGCGAAGAGGAUUAGAUACCCUCGUAGUCCAUGCCGUAAACGAUGUGUGCUAGACGUUGGAAAUAUAUUUUUCAGUGUCGCAGCGAAAGCAUUAAGCACACCGCCUGGGGAGUACGACCGCAAGGUUAAAACUCAAAUGAAUUGACGGGGACCCGCACAAGCAGUGGAGCAUGUGGUUUAAUUCGAAGAUACGCGCAGAACCUUACCAACACUUGACAUGUUCGUCGCGAGCCUAAGAGAUUAGGCUUUUCAGUUUGGCUGGACGAAACACAGGUGCUGCAUGGCUGUCGUCAGCUCGUGUC
rnacentral:rRNA from 1 species